GUAGAUAUAGUUUAAAAAAANCAUUAGAUUGUGAUUCUAAAAAANGGGGUUAAANCCCUCUUGUCCACC
rnacentral:tRNA from 1 species